GGGCGUGUGGUCUAGAGGUAUGACAUUCGCUUCGCAUCAAAAUUACGCUGUGAAAGGUCCUGGGUUCAAUUCCCAGCUCGUCCA